AUGCAGUCCACUUUGCAACCCAUCUUCAAGCCUAAUUUUGCUGCAUUUUGGUUGGUCAACAAUGCUCCAAACAGUCUGGAAAAAAAACCAGCAAAGAGAGAUGUUGUAAAAUGCUACAAAACAGUAAAAAAAACAUCAACAUACAGCAGCUCCAAGUGCUGCCAAAACCUGCUCCAAC